AAAAAGUGUGUGAAGGCUCAAAGAUACAAAACAAAACUCACAUUCACUUUCAAUGUUGCUCACAAACUCUUAGCUGUGUCUUUGUGUGUGUUUUCCUUUUCAUGCUUCCUCCACACAAUCUAUACCUUUUGUAUAUAUCUCUCUCAUUCUUUAUCUUCAUUCAAGUUCGUAGGGACAUACAAUGAAAAUUCUUCUCAUUUUUCUCCUUAUUCUUCACAAACCCAUUUGGAUUAUUGCCUCACUUGUAGACCCUUUUGUUUCUUCACCUCAAAUUCCACCUUUUUCUCCAAUUCAUACAACAAUCACAAUGGAUGCUUCCUCUCCAGGUACAUUCUCUCUCUCCCGUAAACUUAAAUAAAAAUUAAUAUAUUUUUUUAUGAUAAAUUUUGAUCUUUGAAAAUUAAAAUGAACCGCGUUCAAAAUGUUCAAAAUAUGAGAGAUCAAUUUGUAUCUUUACUUUAAAAAUUAUUCAUUAUUAUUUUUAUAUUUUAGGAUGAAAUUGAAGAGAGAUAAUUAUCACUAAUAUUUUGAAGUUAAAAAAGAAUAGAAAAAAGUGUGUGAAGGCUCAAAGAUACAAAACAAAACUCACAUUCACUUUCAAUGUUGCUCACAAACUCUUAGCUGUGUCUUUGUGUGUGUUUUCCUUUUCAUGCUUCCUCCACACAAUCUAUACCUUUUGUAUAUAUCUCUCUCAUUCUUUAUCUUCAUUCAAGUUCGUAGGGACAUACAAUGAAAAUUCUUCUCAUUUUUCUCCUUAUUCUUCACAAACCCAUUUGGAUUAUUGCCUCACUUGUAGACCCUUUUGUUUCUUCACCUCAAAUUCCACCUUUUUCUCCAAUUCAUACAACAAUCACAAUGGAUGCUUCCUCUCCAGGUA
rnacentral:lncRNA from 1 species